GACGGAGGAUGCAAGCGUUAUCCGGAAUGAUUGGGUCGUAAAGCGUCCGCAGGUGGCAGUUCAAGUCUGCUGUCAAGACCGGGCUUAACUUCGGAAAGGCAGUGGAAACCUGAACAGCUAGAGUAUGGUAGGGGCAGAGGGAAUUCCUGGUGGUAGCGGUGAAAUCGCGUAGAGGAUCAAGGAAGAACCAUCGGUGGCGAAGGCGCUCUGCUGGACCUGAACUGACACUCAGGGACGAAAGCUAGGGGAGCGAAUGGG
rnacentral:rRNA from 1 species